UAUAUAUAUAUAUAUAUAUUUGGUUGAUAAAUGAUGAAAUUAUCUCCGCCAUUCAGCAAAUAGUUCCAAUUCCACGCAAUUUUAGGCACAAAUAAUUAAAUUGUAGUCGCUCUCACACAAGCACUACUCUUAGAAGCUCCCAUUAUUUAUAUUACCGUACACGAGCAGAAAGCAGUAAGAGAGAACAAGAGUAGAAGAGAUACAAGAAAUUAAGGGGAAGGAAGAGGCAGAAUCAUGAAGUUUUUCUCUGUAUCAGUGGCAGCAGUGUUGGUGUUGAUUCUGCUGAGCACAAGCCCUUGCAGAGCUAGUGUUCCAAACAGUACGGAUGGCAACCACUUCUCUGUUAGGGAUAGCAACAUGGAGUUUGAGUUCAUGAUGGACUCCGAGUUUAGUGGAAUGCUUUAUGCUUCUAAAAUGUCUACUCAACCUCUUUUUAAUUGCGGCAGAACCAAAAGCUACUGCGUCCCAGGAGCAAAUCAUAAUACGUGCCGCCCGGGGAAGUUCUACCGUUGCAAAUAGCUUAUUUUACUAGUAUAGCCAUGACAGGCGCUUCAACCAUUUUUAUUUGUAUUCCGAGCAGGUGGAAUAUUAUAUUGGUAUUUAUACACAAAAUUAUCUGUCAUGAAAGCUUCAUUUGUUUCAAAAAAAAUAUUUAUAUAUAGAAAAUAUUUUUUAUGAAAAAUAUUUUCUAAAAAAAUAUUUUCCGUUAAACAAAUGGAAACAUAUUUUCUCAUUCUCUUCUGGCUAUUUUGUUUGUGUGAAUUUUUUCAGCUUUCAGGCAACACUCUUCAUUUUUCCGUUUCAUAAAAGGGAGUAUCCAUAUCUAUAAUUAAUAAUAUUAAUGAUGUCAAAAAUUAUUAUCUAACAAAAUAAGAUAAAUUUCUUAAAAUACUAUCCAGAUCCUUUUGCAUAACUCCAAAAUUAUUUCGAUUCUUAGCAUUUAUUUUAGUGUAGUUAUUCAUCACAAUUAUUAUAAUAUUUAAAAAAAUCA
rnacentral:misc_RNA from 1 species